AAUGUGCGCAAGCCUGAUCCAGCCAUGCCGGGUGUGUGAAGAAGGCCUUUUGGUUGUAAAGCACUUUAAGCGAGGAGGAGGCUACCUAUAUUAAUACUAUCAGGUAGUGGACGUUACUCGCAGAAUAAGCACCGGCUAACUCUGUGCCAGCAGCCGCGGUAAUACAGAGGGUGCGAGCGUUAAUCGGAAUUACUGGGCGUAAAGCGCGCGUAGGCGGUUUGUUAAGUCGGAUGUGAAAUCCCCGGGCUCAACCUGGGAAUUGCCUUUGAUACUGGCAAGCUAGAGUAUGGGAGAGGAAGGUAGAAUUCCAGGUGUAGCGGUGAAAUGCGUAGAGAUUUGGAGGAAUACCGAUGGCGAAGGCAGCCUUCUGGCCUAAUACUGACGCUGAGGUGCGAAAGCAUGGGGAGCAAACAGGAUUAGAUACCCUGGUAGUCCAUGCCGUAAACGAUGUCAACUAGCCGUUGGGGGAUUUGAUCCUUUAGUGGCGCAGCUAACGCGAUAAGU
rnacentral:rRNA from 1 species